GUAAAAGUGAUGUUGUGGUAGUUCUAGGCCCAGCCUUUAAAAGCACUGCUGCUUCUCUCUUGAAAUGCUCACACUUGGGACACUUUCCUCCAGAACCCAGAGGCUAAAUGGAUGUUCACUUUUAGAUGACAGCCCCAGCUGUCCCAGCGAAUAGGCAGCAUCAAGUAUCAGCCAUUUGAGUGAACCAUUUAGAUGUUCCAGUGCAAUUGAGCAGAAGAACCACCCAGCUGAACCUAGUCAAUCCACAGAACCAUGAGAGAUAAUGAAAUGGUUGUUGUUUUAGGCCAUGAAUUUUGCAGUAAUACACAGCAAUAAUAACCAAAACAGAAAUUAGUGAGGUGCUGAAACAACAAAAAGCUAAAACAUUUGGCAUUGGCUUUGGACCUAGAAAGCAGAUAGAAGGUAGUCCAAAGCAGACUGCUAGUGAAAAAUGGAAUGAUAGGGAGAAAAAUGUUUUUGAUGCUGGAAAGGAGGAAGAGGGCUUAUGUUUUUUGUGGACACAAAAAACAGAAAAUAAAGCAAAUGAAAAUUUUUUUUAUUUUAUUGAGCAGCAGAAUAGUGAAAGUGCCAACUGUUUUUCCUGAAUAAAAUAAGGUAUAUGUAGAGAGAGGAACUUAAAAAAAUAGCUUUCAAACAGGAUCUAGAGGGAGUAUUUCUUAACCAAGACUUGUUGGGAAUUUUUCUUAUUCCCAGUCUCCCUCAACAAAAGUCUCUCAAAGUAAGAAAUUACUUUAGGACAAAGAUCAAAUCCAAGGCACUGUCAGUAAAUGUGCAGUUUCAAAGUCAAGAUCUCAGAUAUGUGGCUAUAAGAACUUUUUGUUAAAAACUCAGAAGGAUUUGACAUUUGUAAAAAACUCAGGUGUGCCUCUUUGAAACUUUCUUCUAGACAAUGAGGCUUCUAUAACUCUCUGUUCAAAGUAGGGAAAGGCCUUUUAUAAAGAAACUUUGGUGUCGCUUUUGUCCAGGAAAAUGGCUUAUAUUUUUAUACUCAGGAAAACCACAAAGUAUCUAUAGGAAGUGUACCAAUUUGUACUAAACAAACAAAGAAAAACAGUGACAGUUCAAAAAUUAAGAGAUCUUUGAGACACUCAAUUUUCAACAAAAAGAACACAGCCUGAGAAAGUCACUCAGCUACACAUGUGGGCUGUUUCUUAGGGAAAAGAGAGACAUAUGGAAGAGCCAGAAGCCCAGAGGAAAAAGCUAAGAGGCAGAGAGAAUCAACCCAAGAAAGCUGGAGGAAACCCUAACCAAGGAACCCACAUCUGCUCACCUAAAUUUCAGGAUGUUUAUGAACCAGUGGCUGCUAUUUGCCACUGUACUUUUGGAAUGCGUGUCUAUCAAAUUCUAUUGUCCUUGUCUCACUAUUACAUACUGAGUUUGUGGGGGCCAGAUAACUUGUUUUCUAGUUCAUAGCUCUUCAUCUCAAGAGUAGCCUGAGGUGCCUUAUUCACACCUGGAUCUGAUUUAGAUAAUGGAAUGCUGAACAUUGAACCUAAUUCAGUCACAAAUUGAGACUUUGAGGGUCAUGGGGAAUGGUCAGGGUAUUUUGCAUGUAGAAUGAAUUUAAAUAAUUUAUGACUGAGGGAUCACUGUUGUGGGCUAAAAAUGACCAAACACGUUUUAUUACUCUUUCCAUCAACAUGUGGCAUUUAUUUUCAUUCCCUCUUGAAUCUGGGUUGGCCCUGUGACAGCUUAAAUAGAAUGUGGUGGAAGUGAUGAUAUACCAGUUACAGACACACUUUUUAAGAGGAUUGCAGCAUCCAGGUCCCCCUCUAAGGUUUCUCAUUCUUGGAACAAUUCUUGGAACUCACCCAUCAUACUGUGAGAAACCCAAGCCACAUGUAUAGGACACAUGUUGAUGAUCCAAUUGACAGUCUCAAGCGAACUCUUUGCCAAUAACCAGCAUCAAAUGCUGCCAGGUAAAUGGGAAAUCUUGGCUGUCCCAGCACAAUUGAGCCCAUAGAUGAUGCAGCCAAAUCCAAUUUAUAAGAAACAAGCAACCCCAUUUAGUCCAGUCAACACUAAAAAUAGCGUGAAAUAAUGAAAUAGUUAAGCCAGUAACUUUUGGAGUGGUUUGUUAUAAAAUAAUAGAUAAUUAAAAUAGGAGUCAGCUGUGUAUAGAGGUUAAUGAAGCCAUGAGAUGGUUAAGACAAUCAAUAUGUGACAUGAAAGAAAAAAGGCUAUCUUAGUCUGUUUUCUGUUACCUGAAUUCCAUAAACUGAGUAAUUUAUAAAGAAAAUAAAUGUAUUUAUUUCUUACAGUUCUAGAGGCUGAUAAGUCCAAGCAUAUGGUGCCAGCAUCUGGUGAGGCCUUCUUGCUGUGUAAUCUCAUGGCAGAAGAGUGGAAGGACAAGUGAGCACAUGCAAAAGGGAUUGUACAAGGUGCUGAGCUGGCUUUAUUACAACUUGCUCUUGAGAUAACUACCAACUCUGAUGAUAGGACCUUAAUCUAUUCAUAAGGGUGCUGCCUAUGAUUUGAUUACCUCUUAAAGGCCCCACAUCUUAAUACUUUUACAAUGGCAAUUAAAUGUCAACAUGAGUUUCAGUGGAGACAAACAUUCAAACCAUAGCAAAGGCUUAGAAUAGAAUCCUAGGAAUUCCAAAAUUGCCAGACAGAGAAAAAGAUGACAGCUACAGAAUCUGUGAAAUAUGUUCAUCAAAGUAAAAAGAAAUCCAGACAGUCAGUGACCUGUGAGCCAAUGGAAGAGAGAGACCACACAGGUGAGUGCCAAUGAGAGAUCAAAUGAGAUAUAGGUCAUAGUUACUUGUUCUAUUAAAUGACAUAGAAGAUAAAGGUGGCCUUAGCAAAAAUAGAAUUUCAAACUGUUAGGGAGGAAGCCAGACUGGAAUUAGAGAGGUAGCUGAAGAAUGACAGGGAAUGAGUAGAGAGGAACAGAGAGUAUAGGUUCUUUUGAAGAGCCAGGAAAGUUGGCAUGAAGAAGCUCAAUAUCUCUUUCUGUCUCUCAUUCUCACUCUGUGUGUGUAUGUGUGUGUGUGUGUGUGUGUGGUGGGGAGAAGGAAUAAGAGACAGAAAUCUUGAAACAUUAAAAUUAUCAUUAAAUGAUGGUGAGAAGGAAAGAAAUAUAAAAGUUAUGGUAAGAGAAAAAUAUGAGUAAUAUUUAACUCUUUCCAGAAAGGAUCCUCAAACCAAAGAACAUCCAUUUAGGCACUAUGGCUAGUGUUCAAACACACAAUAACCUCAAAAUAACACUUGCUGUCAAGCAGAAUUUGUAAAACUGAGCUGAAUAAUCAUGGAUUCAAAGGAAUUUAUUUCCUGACAUAUCAAAAUGGCCUUGUUUAAAUCAUGUAAUCGAGUCUAUAAUAAAAAUUUAAUCUUAAGGUUUUAUAGCUCAAAAAAAUCUGUAUUUUAAAUUUUUAGGCAGUUUCUUCUAAGGUGAACAAUGGUAUUUACCUUUUGGGUAGAACAUGACUUAUUUUUGGAAGUAUUGCUUGAGUAAUAUUAAGAAUUAGGAAAUAUCUACUUGCUGAUAUGAGAGUAUACAAAAAUGUUUGCUUGACAAGCUUCCGAGGGCUCUGUAAGAUUGUGGUGAUAUCAGAUAAUGCCCUUCCCAAAUGUGUCUGCUCAUCAAUGAAUUUACACACAUGCAUAACAGCUUCCUGGGAGCAGAAUGGCUUGUACCUGGUUCUGUCUCUGAGUGUUUCAAAGAUAUGGAAGCAUGUUUGAUGAAAGAUCAUGGAAUAGCAAAGAAAAAUAGCACCAAAAAGGCAAACAAGGCAGGGAAAGAUUCUAGACUAGUGAUUUGGGAUCAACACAGGACAGGAUGAUUAGAGAGAAUAGCUUCCUGUGCACACUAUGUAGUUUGAUGCAGAAGCCAUCCUGAUCCAGAUGCCCUGGUACUGUGGGGCGGGACCUUGGAAAAAUUACCCAGAGGAUGUGAAGUGAAAGUUUUGUUACACCAUUCUUCAGAGUGAAGGCAGUUUUCCUACAGAAACCUUCAAAAAAGGAGAUGCAUCCUUCCUUGUUCCUGGCAGUCUUGCAUUUGAGGAAAUCAGUAUGCUCCAACUUAGACUUAUCUUUUAGUCUCCAGAGGCAGAAAAAAAGCAGAAAAGGUUGUUGAAAUUCUUCACAUUGAUUUCAGGGCAAUGAUCUCAAACGGCGCAGUGGGAACCCGCAAAUUUAAGAGGUAAGGGAAGCAAAUGGACUCACUGGGAACUUUAUCAGGGUAGUUUCCCUGCACAAGCCCUUUUUUUGCCUGCUGCCAUCCGUGUAAGAUGUGACUUGCUCCUCCUUGUCUUCUACCAUGAUUGUGAGGCCUCCCCAGUUAUGUGGAACUCAAAGCUAGAGGAAACCAAAGUCAUAGAACAUCUGAACUCUGUCCAAACAUCGGUCGUAUUUCAAAAUUUCAGAGCCUCAGACUUCCAUGAUAAUAUCUGCCUAGUCUUUAGAAGAGUGUAUGGAAGUGUUCAAGAACCUUUCCUGAAACAACUUCUAUUACAGACACUGCUUCUUCAUGGUUAUUCCAUCAGAUUGCAAUCACUUAUAUGUUUUUUUCCACUCUUCCUUAUAUUAUGAGCACUUUUCACGUAGGGGUUCAUCUCUUUAAUAAUCAUAGCUCCCAACACAAUUGUAGGCUUAUAUUAGAUGCUCGAUAAAGAUGAGUUGAGUUAACAUGUAAAGUAAUGAAUGAGUAAGGAAAAAUAGAAUAGUUUCGAAUUAAUGCAUGUUACUGCUACUGUAAAUUUAAUGUUUUCAUUUCUAUUACUAUUUAUAUAUAAAUUUAAUUAAUUGUUAACUUUCUUUGCCAUCCAUACAUCUAUUUAUCUGCUCAUUUGAAAAUCUCUUUCCUGUUUCCUAUUAUUCAAAAUAUUAAAAGCAAAUAUUACUUAAAUAUUUAAAUCACUCUUUUUCCAUGUUAAGUUUCUCAGGAUGCAGAAUGUUGCUGUACACUGAGAAAUAUUAGGCGAUACAAAAUGGCUACUAUAACGUAAUGUUCUAGAAAAUGAUAAAAGUCAAACCCAUUGGUUUUUGCUGCCAACACAAGUUUGUCAAUGUAAUUAAUGCCCUUUAGCCUGGGAGGGUUGUAUGACAGGAAAAAUGGCAUCAAAGCCAUUUUUAUUUAAAAAAUAAAUUUAAUAUUACUUGAUAAUAAGGGAGCUAUAUAAGCAAAAAUCUUAGAAUUUUCUUUUUCUUUUUUUUCCUUAGUUUCACAUCUUUCUACAUAGUAUCCAAAUCCCAGUUGUUGAUACUAAUUUUCUUGCCUUCUUACCCUUAACAAGUUUGGAGACAAAGUUAAUAUCAUUAGUAGUAUGUAAACUAAUUCCUAAAGCAAAAGUCUCUAAAAGUGUGAUCCAUGUCCCAUUUUUUAUUGGUCUGCAAUGAGGUAAGCACAGAAAUUUUAAUCACCUCCACGCAUACCUUCAAUGAGCAACAUGUACAGUUUUUUGAGACUCUUCUCUCUUUUCCUGUUAUUUUCUGAUUGCAUUUAUAAAAAUGCAAUUUUGUGUUUGUUGAAUCUGAUGAUAAAAAAUGAGGAAACACCGCAUAUUCUCACUCAUAGGUGGGAAUUGAACAAUGAGAUCACAUGGACA
rnacentral:lncRNA from 1 species